AGCGAGGUGGGGAAGCCAGGAUCAUCCCGGCGGGCUCAUAACCCGCAGAGCGGAGGUUCAAAUCCUCCCCUCGCUA
rnacentral:tRNA from 2 species